rnacentral:rRNA from 1 species
AGCGAACGCUGGCGGCAGGCCUAACACAUGCAAGUCGAACGAACUCUUCGGAGUUAGUGGCGGACGGGUGAGUAACACGUGGGAACGUGCCUUUUGGUUCGGCAUAACUCAGGGAAACUUGUGCUAAUACCGAAUGUGCCCUUCGGGGGAAAGAUUUAUCGCCAUUAGAGCGGCCCGCGUCUGAUUAGCUAGUUGGUGAGGUAACGGCUCACCAAGGCGACGAUCAGUAGCUGGUCUGAGAGGAUGACCAGCCACACUGGGACUGAGACACGGCCCAGACUCCUACGGGAGGCAGCAGUGGGGGAUCUUGCGCAAUGGGCGAAAGCCUGACGCAGCCAUGCCGCGUGAAUGAUGAAGGUCUUAGGAUUGUAAAAUUCUUUCAACGGGGACGAUAAUGACGGUACCCGGAGAAGAAGCCCCGGCUAACUUCGUG